rfam:Hordeum vulgare subsp. vulgare, WGS project CAJW01000000 data, contig: morex_contig_2563220
UUAGUACUCACUCCGUCCGAAAAUACUUGCGGGGAGAUGAAUGUACCUAGACGUAUUUAAGCUUUAGAUACAUUCAUUUAUAUUUAUUUUUGAGACAAGUAAUUUCGGACGUAGGGAGUAUUGA